rnacentral:rRNA from 1 species
AUUGAACGCUGGCUGCAUGCUUUACACAUGCAAGUCGAACGGCAGCGCGGGCUUCGGCCUGGCGGCGAGUGGCGAACGGGUGAGUAAUGCGUCGGAACGCACCGAGUAAUGGGGGAUAACGCAGCGAAAGCUGUGCUAAUACCGCAUACGAUCUGAGGAGGAAAGCAGGGGAUCGUAAGACCUUGCGUUAUUCGAGCGGCCGACGUCUGAUUAGGCUAGUUGGGGGGAUAAAGGCUCACCAAGGCUUCGAUAAGUAGCGGGUCUGAGAGGAUGAUCAGCCACACUAGGACUGAGACGCGGCCCAGCAUCCGACGGGAGGCAGCAGGGGGGAAUUGUGGCUAAUGGGCGCAAGCCUGCUCCAGCCAUGCCGCGUGUCUGAAGAAGGCCUUCGGGUUGUAAAGGACUUUUGUCGGGGAGCAAAUGACGGUGGCUAAUAUCCACUGGAGCUGAGAGUACCUGAAGAAUAAGCACCGGCUAACUACGUGCCAGCCGCCGCGGUAAUAC